rnacentral:rRNA from 1 species
AUCUAAAGCUAAAUAUUGGCGAGAGACCGAUAGCGAACAAGUACCGUGAGGGAAGAUGAAAAGCACUUUGGAAAGAGAGUGAAACAGUACGUGAAAUUGUUGAAAGGGAAACGCUUGAAGUCAGUCGCGUCCGCCAGGAUUCAGCCUCACGGUGUACUUUCUGGUGGACGGGCCAGCAUCACUUUCAAUCAUCGGACAAGGUCGAGAGGAAUGUGGCACCUUCGGGUGUGUUAUAGCCUCUUGUCGUAUACGGUGACUGGGAGUGAGGACCGCCUUUGUAGGAUGCUGGCGUAAUGGCUUUAAACGACCCGUCUUG